rnacentral:rRNA from 1 species
UACGAAGGGGCUAGCGUUGCUCGGAUUGACUGGGCGUAAAGGGCGCGUAGGCGGUCUGUACAGUCAGGCGUGAAAUUCCUGGGCUCAACCUGGGGCUGCGUUUGAUACGUGCAGACUAGAGUGCGGAAGAGGGUCGUGGAAUUCCCAGUGUAGAGGUGAAAUUCGUAGAUAUUGGGAAGAACACCGGUGGCGAAGGCGGCGACCUGGUCCGAUACUGACGCUGAGGCGACGAAAGCGUGGGGAGCAAACAGG